UUUCCGUAGGUGAACCUGCGGAAGGAUCAUUAAUGUGUUUGGGCCUCACGGCUCUUCAUUCCGACGCUGUGCGCCUUCGGGCUGCACGCUGAAGGAGCAUAUAUCCACCCCUGUGCACACACACGGUGGCGAGCUGGGUAACGGCUCGCCGCUGAUCUUUACACACGUCUAAAAGUCAUUGUAUGUUUAUUUGAGAUAAAAACACAACUUUCAGCAACGGAUCUCUUGGCUCUC
rnacentral:misc_RNA from 1 species